rnacentral:rRNA from 1 species
UACGAAGGGGGCUAGCGUUGCUCGGAAUCACUGGGCGUAAAGGGUGCGUAGGCGGGUCUUUAAGUCAGGGGUGAAAUCCUGGAGCUCAACUCCAGAACUGCCUUUGAUACUGAGGAUCUUGAGUUCGGGAGAGGUGAGUGGAACUGCGAGUGUAGAGGUGAAAUUCGAUUAGAUAUUCGCAAGAACACCAGUGGCGAAGGCGGCUCACUGGCCCGAUACUGACGCUGAGGCACGAAAGCGUGGGGAGCAAACAGG